GGCAUGGUGGCUUAGUGGUUAGCACUGUUAUCUUACACCCCUGGGGUCAAGGGUUUGAAUCCCACCUCUGCCC